ACUGGGCACAGUGGCGCCUGCCUGUAAUCCCAGAGGCUUGGGAGGCUGAGACAGGAGGAUCUCGAGUUCAAAGCCAGCCUCAGUAACAGGGAGGUGCUUGAGCAACUCAGUGAGACCCUGUCUUUA
rnacentral:sRNA from 1 species